UACGGGGGGGGCAAGCGUUGUUCGGAAUUACUGGGCGUAAAGGGCGCGUAGGCGGCGCGGUAAGUCACUUGUGAAAUCUCUGAGCUUAACUCAGAACGGCCAAGUGAUACUGCAGUGCUAGAGUGCAGAAGGGGCAACUGGAAUUCUCGGUGUAGCGGUGAAAUGCGUAGAUAUCGAGAGGAACACCUGCGGCGAAGGCGGGUAGCUGGGCCGACACUGACGCUGAGGCGCGAAAGCCAGGGGAGCGAACGGG
rnacentral:rRNA from 1 species